CAGUCGCCGCGGUAAUGCGUAGGUGGCAAGCGUCGUCCGGAAUUAUUGGGCGUAAAGCGCGCGCAGGCGGCUUCCCAAGUCCCUCUUAAAAGUGCGGGGCUUAACCCCGUGAUGGGAAGGAAACUGGGAAGCUGGAGUAUCGGAGAGGAAAGUGGAAUUCCUAGUGUAGCGGUGAAAUGCGUAGAGAUUAGGAAGAACACCGGUGGCGAAGGCGACUUUCUGGACGAAAACUGACGCUGAGGCGCGAAAGCGUGGGGAGCAAACAGGAUUAGAUACCCCCGUAGUCCCUGUCUCUUAUACA
rnacentral:rRNA from 1 species